rnacentral:lncRNA from 1 species
GAACUUGAUAAUGCCUUGUGUCUAUCUGCUGCAUUGCUUGUGAUAUUGGAAAUCAAACUUGAUAAUUUAUUAAUCAAGAUUUGACAUCAAUACUAUUGAAAAUGGUUAAAUGCUUAAUGUCAGUUCUAAAUUAACUUGUCUUGUUAAGAUGAUAGAUUAUAUUAUCUAAUCAUGCUUGCUUUCAUGAGUUAGAAACUGAUUAAGAUUAAUGCAUAC